UACGUAGGGUGCAAGCGUUAAUCGGAAUUACUGGGCGUAAAGCGUGCGCAGGCGGUUUUGUAAGUCAGAUGUGAAAUCCCCGGGCUUAACCUGGGAACUGCGUUUGAAACUACAAGGCUAGAGUGUGACAGAGGGGGGUGGAAUUCCACGUGUAGCAGUGAAAUGCGUAGAGAUGUGGAGGAACACCGAUGGCGAAGGCAGCCCCCUGGGUUAACACUGACGCUCAGGCACGAAAGCGUGGGGGAGCAAACAGG
rnacentral:rRNA from 1 species